UUUUUUUGUUAUAUAAUAGCUCAUAUUAUGAAUUUCCAAAGAAAAAUUCAUGAAAGAAUAUGAUUCAGAAUUAAUGAGGCAAGAGAGGCUCGAACUCCUGACCUCAGGGAAAAACCAUGAGACCUAUAGACUAGCCAAACGUGGCAGCUAUCGUUCCAUCUUUCUUUUUCUUUUUAUUUUUUAAAAUAAAAUCUAUUUAAAAAAUUAUAAAAAGAAUUACACCGGUGCAUGGCUAAGGCUCAAACUCACCACACCUCAGCAUCACUCACAUGCUGGUCAACUGCGCCAGCUAACUUUACCUUUUCCUCUCCCAUUUUGUAUUUCUAGACUAGCCAUUUUAUUAUAGAAAAUACUAUCAAGGUCGCUGACCAAGUUACACACCCUCCUCUCUUUAGGCUUGGUCCUGAACCCUCUUUUCCACCAUGAAAGAGGAGGAUGCAAGGUCCAGUGUAGACCAGCCUCAUUAUCGAUGCUUCCUCCUGCAACGACACUACCC
rnacentral:lncRNA from 1 species